ACGCCUGCCCAGUGAACAAUUAAACGGCCGCGGUACCCUAACCGUGCAAAGGUAGCAUAAUCAUUUGUCUACUAAUUAUAGACCUGUAUGAAAGGCAAAAUGAGGGUCCAACUGUCUCUUAUAGUAAAUCUAUUAAACUGAUCUCCUAGUAAAAAAGCUAGAAUUACAACAUAAGACCAGAAGACCCUGUGAAGCUUAAAUUAAACUAUUAAACCCAAUAAUAGCUAAUUUCGGUUGGGGCGACCUUGGAAAAAAAAAGAACUUCCAAAUACAUGAUAAUAUCAUAAAACAAGGCCCACAAGCCAAAUUACGACCCAGUAUAACUGAGAAUUGAAACAAGUUACUCCAGGGAUAACAGCGCAAUCUUCUUCAAGAGCCCAUAUCAAAAAGAAGGUUUACGACCUCGAUGUUGGAUCAGGACAUCCUAAUGGUGCAGAAGCUAUUAAGGGUUCGUUUGUUCAACGAUUAACAGUCCUACGUGAUCUGA
rnacentral:rRNA from 1 species